rnacentral:misc_RNA from 1 species
CUGCUCUGGCAGCGACGACAUCUCCUCCACGUCUCUUCAUAUUUGGCGCGAGCGCUUGCUCGGCCGACGUCGGUUUCCUGUGCUGAAUACCUAUUGCGAGGGCAUUGUGUCGGCUACGUUUGUUCUAUUCCCACCUUGUGCCGCUGCUCCACGUGGGCGUGCGGUGCGGGGAGGGCCAAAUCGCGCGCGUCGUGUGUCGCACCGCGUUCGCCCCUAAGGGCGUUCGGGUUGUCGACCCACGACGUGUGCUCCGUCUCUUCGGUACCGAGCAUUGUGGGGGUACGAAGGCCUCCGCCUCCGAAGACCAAAAACUAACCGUCUUGCCUUCCGGGGAACCAACGGUCGUUUCGUCUUUGGGCGGGCUCUUGCCAUUCCGUUCAAGUCCGGCCCAACUCCAUGAAGAAUGCUACCUGGUUGAUCC